rnacentral:rRNA from 1 species
UACAGAGGUCCCGAGCGUUGUUCGGAUUCACUGGGCGUAAAGGGUGCGUAGGUGGUGGGGUAAGUCGGAUGUGAAAGCUCGGAGCUCAACUCCGAAAUGGCAUUGGAAACUACCCUGCUGGAGGUUUGGAGGGGGGACUGGAAUACUUGGUGUAGCAGUGAAAUGCGUAGAUAUCAAGUGGAACACCAGUGGCGAAGGCGAGUCCCUGGACAAAACCUGACACUGAGGCGCGAAAGCUAGGGGAGCAAACGGG